CUUUGCCUAACCCUCCCCAACCCCUACUCCCACCGCACUACUAAUUACUGACCUGAAGGUUUCAAUGUGUGAUCUUUACAACAACCCUGCAAAGCAGACAAGAUAGACAAGAUCACCCUCCCCACUUUACAGCGAACGAGAAAAAGAACAUGCCAACAGUCACAAGAGCUCCUAAGGAAUCAAUUAUGAUCGUGUGAAAACCUGCCCCAUGCACACUCCAAUACGGGCUCUGUGGGCGAACGUGCAGUGAUGAAGACAGUCUGUGCUCCAAAGAAGUGGACGCUUCAGCCCAGAGAGAAGGCUGGCAAGCUGGGGGAUACCUGUCCCCUCCCCUCUAGGGACCCGCCAACCCUUGCCAGCAUGGUGGAGAGCUCACACAAGCUGAGGCGUCCACUGGCCUGGGCUUCCUUUGGAACCUUGGGACCAGAUCAUUCUCCCCACUGAACACACUCUCACAAGUGUCCUGAUCAGAAUUCCCCGGUCCACCGUGUAAUUUAUACCCACCAGUGUAAAUGUGGGCCUCCCCGUCGCUCCGACUCCCCUUCGUUUGCCCUCCCCUCCCACUGAAGCCUAUCCUUACUUAACAUUCUUCAUCAUCGUUGCCUAGAAUUUCCCUGCACCUCCUCAUGUUGACAGAAAAUAGCUUUUUCUCACCAACUCAGUUUUCCCCCAACUUAUCCCGAGUCAAGGCUGUCUCCGUCCCUGUUCCACAGGGAUGGCAGAAAGGUGUCUUCCCCUGGUAUCCUUGCUUCUUGAACCCAUGCCUUCCCAACGUGGUGAAGGGGCCAAACACCCCACAGCUCAGUUUAAAUACACCCUUCUGCCAGAGCCCGAGGGAAAGCACUAGGCUUGCCAUAGGCCAUUGAUGAGCCCUCAAUAAAUAUUAA